GCUCACCAAGGCGACGAUCCCUAGCUGGUCUGAGAGGAUGACCAGCCACACUGGAACUGAGACACGGUCCAGACUCCUACGGGAGGCAGCAGUGGGGAAUAUUGCACAAUGUGCGCAAGCCUGAUGCAUCCAUUGCCGCGUGUAUGAAGAAGGCCUUCGGGUUGUAAAGUACUUUCAGCGGGGAGGAAGGGAGUAAAGUUAAUACCUUUGCUCAUUGACGUUACCCGCAGAAGAAGCACCGGCUAACUCCGUGCCAGCAGCCGCGGUAAUACGGAGGGUGCAAGCGUUAAUCGGAAUUACUGGGCGUAAAGCGCACGCAGGCGGUUUGUUAAGUCAGAUGUGAAAUCCCCGGGCUCAACCUGGGAACUGCAUCUGAUACUGGCAAGCUUGAGUCUCGUAGAGGGGGGUAGAAUUCCAGGUGUAGCGGUG
rnacentral:rRNA from 1 species